ACUUCUUCUUCAUUCUUUCUCCAGCAAACCCUAGCUCUGAAGCUGCCUUCAUUCACCACCACCACCAUUGAAUCUCUUUUCUUUUAUUGUCUCUAUACGAAAAGAUUGCUGAAUCUGUAGAUCUAAUCUUUCUCAAGUGAAAACCCUAACACCGUUGUUAAGGACGAUUUGAAUCACAAAAAAAAGUGCAGCUGAGGAGUUAUUCGAUACUAUAAGUGUGGUUAGGGUUUUGAAUCUCUCGGGGAGUCAUCUUCAUCAAAUCAUACUUUCUCAAUCGAAGACAAAAUUACAAGAUAAUGAUGAAGCGCAACAAUCCUCAGGUGAUUCUGCUGUUACCAUGUACACUAUGUACCUUUAUCACUUCAUCUGUAGUAGCAACAUCAGAUUCCUGCAAAGCUUACCCAUCAGAAUCAUGAAAAACUUGGAACAGUGUUGAUGAAUAAUUAGUUCCAGAGAGAAGGGAAGUACAUGGGAGGAGGAAGAAUACUUGAUAUUAGCCAUACUUAUAGAACUACUAUGCCUUUUUGGGGAUCUACAGAAGGAUUAAGUCAAUUUUGGAUCUCUUGCUAAUAAUUUCGAGAUGAAGUUGCCUACUCGUACAGGUACUCAUGUUGAUGCAUCUGGUCAUAUUUUUGAUCAUUAUUUUGAUGCUGGGUUUGAUGUUGAUACACUUGAUCUUGAGGUUCUCAAUGGUAUAAACCCCACCCCCACUCUCUUUAUGUACUUUCUUGAGACAAAAUUGUUAUCAUUGAUGCUAUUGAAUUAAUUGAUAAAGGGUUCUGCUUUUAACAUCAUGAUAAUUUUGAUUGGCCCUGCUGACAAUCUUGUUUGUUGGUUUCACAGGUCCAGCAUUCUUAGUGGAUGUUCCAAGGAACAAUAAUAUAACCGAUAAUUUUCGACACCCAAAUCAACUUCUGUAAAUUCAGUUUACCAUGAUUAAUUGUCACUUUACAUGUUUGUGAAAAGUAAAAAAUUCUUUGGGUGCAGGCUAGAUUACAGAACAUUAGAUAAAGCAUCCUUUGGUUGACUUAAAAUUUGCCAAUUUUUGACUUGAAUCUUACUACUUUAGGAUUUGAAUCAAAACCAGAGUUAGCAAGAAUAUGGUGGAGAAACUGGCUUUUUCUUGUUCAACCUUGGAGCCCAAAAUCCUGUGGCAAAUCCGAAACAACAGAACUGGAAAGUUACCUAAAAAUCAGGACGCUGAAAUCGCUUACAAACAGCAUCUUUUGUUUGUUAACUAGUAGUUUAAAAAUGUUGUUUAACCUUGGCCACCUUCUUGGUUCGCCAACAAACGCAAAAAAAAAAUUAAACCAGUUAUAAGUGUAUUUUCUUUGCAUUUAAUGUGAAGUUUUAUGUACUUCUUUAUUGUUGGUGAAAUCUUAAUAGUUCAAUGGUUAAUUAGAUCAUAACAGUUUCUUGCAUGUUACAGCUGAAGUUAUGAAAUCCUUACACGUUCCUAAAGGAGUUAGGCGCGUGCUUUUCAGAACAUUAAACACCGAUAGGAAGCUCAUGUGGAAAAUAGAGUUUGACACAAGCUAUGUUGGAUUUAUGAAGGAUGGCGCAAAAUGGCUGGUAGAGGAUACUGACAUCAAGCUAUUGGAUGUCCUGACAUUUUGGCUUUUGUGAAGUUUAUCUAACCGAUAGAAGUGGCAUUUGCUUGCUUCAGUUAGUGUUUUUAUCACCUUGCUUGGUGCUGACUUCAUGAGAAUGAAAUCUUUCACCAAAGUUGAAGAAUUUGCGGAGACUCUGUCGAAAUCUAUUUGAUGAACAGGUGCAUCCUUAAGACUUAUCGCAUGCAAAAUUUUCAAAUGUAGGUAAAAGAUAACGGAGAAGAACACGAAGAGCAUGGAACCCAAGAAGAAGAGGCUGUUGAGGUCGAUGUUGAUUCUACAGAUGGCGUUGUUCUUGUAAACAGUAAUGAAGACGAAGAAGAGUGGGAUACGACUAAUGAGAGAACCUUAUCAUCUUAAAAGAAAUUGGUUUGGCUAAAUAGGUAGCAGAUAUGAGCAGUAAGUGCCACUAUUUACAAGGCUGGAUAUGAAGCAACAAGAAGCUAUACUUUUUUGAGCAUGUAGGUAAUGAAUGUUGAGCUUGUCUCCAGUCUUGUGCCUUUAAGAUUGUUUCUACUACUGCUAUUACACUUCACAUUACAACUGCAACUGCAGAAUUUCUA